AGUGAACGCUGGCGGCAGGCCUAAUACAUGCAAGUCGAACGGCAGCACAGUGGAGCUUGCUCCAUGGGUGGCGAGUGGCGGACGGGUGAGGAAUACAUGGGAAUCUGCCCAGUCGUGGGGGAUAACGUAUGGAAACGUACGCUAAUACCGCAUGCGCCUUCGGGGAAAGUCGGGGACGCAAGGCCUGACGCGAUUGGAUGAGCCCAUGUUCGAUUAGCUAGUUGGCGGGGUUAACGGCCCACCAAGGCGACGAUCGAUAGCUGGUCUGAGAGGAUGAUCAGCCACACUGGAACUGAGACACGGUCCAGACUCCUACGGGAGGCAGCAGUAGGGAAUAUUGGACAUGGGCGCAAGGCCUGAUCCAGCC
rnacentral:rRNA from 1 species